GUGUGUGUGUGUGUGUGUGUGUUGCCUUUUGGUUUGGGACAUUAUUGUUGAAAAAUAGUAGUACUUUUUUCUUGGAGGAAUGAACUGAUGAAAUUUUUUUAGGAAAUUAUUUAACUCAAAACAUUAAGUUCCUUCGGCCAAAAACUAGUGGGUAGAUGUUUUAGGAUCUGUCUGUUAGGAAGGAUAGAAGAAAGGAGGGAAAGGUAAUUUUUCCGAGUGGUAUGACUAGGUACAAAAUAGGAAGGAAAUGUACCUAACCUACAUAAUGGACAAAAUGCAUUUCUCGUCUACUUUCUAUCCUCCCAGCCAAACUAAGCCUUAAAUAAUUUAAAAUGUACGAGUUCAAAUGAUGUAACACUAGAAAGAACAAAGGAAAAGAAGGAACAAAUCUUUAAGGGAAAAGGGAAGUAUUUCUCAAAUUAUAUUAAUCUCAAAUAAUUAACUUAUCAAGUCUUUGCUAAUAAUAAUAGAAACUAGCCCCAUUUAUUGAAUUAAGAAUCCCAACCACAUUAGGAUUUUAGAACCGUAAUACAAAUCUAAUCAAGAAUAAGAUAAACUAGGAAAUAAU
rnacentral:misc_RNA from 1 species